rnacentral:rRNA from 1 species
AUUGAACGCUGGCGGCAUGCUUUACACAUGCAAGUCGGACGAGUGGCGAACGGGUGAGUAAUGCCUCGGAACGUACCGGAUAGUGGGGGAUAACUGUCCGAAAGGAUAGCUAAUACCGCAUACCAUUCGAUCUGCCGAUGUCUGAUUAGCUGGUUGGCGGGGUAACGGCGCACCAAGGCGACGAUCAGUAGCGGGUCUGAGAGGAUGACCCGCCACACUGGGACUGAGCCACGGCCCAGACUCCUACGGGAGGCAGCAGUGGGGAAUUUUGGACAAUGGGCGCAAGCCUGAUCCAGCCAUGCCGCGUGUCUGAAGAAGGCCUUCGGGUUGUAAAGGACUUUUGUCAGGGAGGCGGUACCUGAAGAAUAAGCACCGGCUAACUACGUGCCAGCAGCCGCGGUAAUAC